AUUGAACGCUGGCGGCAUGCCUAACACAUGCAAGUCGAACGGGGCAGCAAUGCCUAGUGGCGGACGGGUGAGGAAUACGUAGGAAUCUGCCCUUAAGUGGGGGAUAACCAGGGGAAACCCUGACUAAUAUCGCAUGAUCUCUUCGGAGCAAAGAGGGGGACCGCAAGGCCUCUCGCUUCUGGAUGAGCCUACGUCUGAUUAGCUAGUUGGUAGGGUAAAGGCCUACCAAGGCGACGAUCAGUAACUGGUCUGAGAGGAUGAUCAGUCACACCGGAACUGAGACACGGUCCGGACUCCUACGGGAGGCAGCAGUGGGGAAUAUUGGACAAUGGGCGCAAGCCUGAUCCAGCAAUGCCGCGUGUGUGAAGAAGGCCUUCGGGUUGUAAAGCACUUUAGCCUGGAAAGAAAAAACUUUGGUUAACACCCAAAGUCUUGACGGUACCAGGGGAAUAAGCACCGGCUAACUCUGUGCCAGCAGCCGCCGUAAGAC
rnacentral:rRNA from 1 species